rnacentral:rRNA from 1 species
UACGUAGGGGGCGAGCGUUGUCCGAAGUUACUGGGCGUAAAGCGCGCGUAGGCGGCGCACUAAGUGGCCGGUGAAAUCCCCGGGCUCAACCCGGGGUAGUCUGGUCAUACUGGUGUGCUGGAGUGUGGGAGAGGAGAGUGGAACUCCUGGUGUAGCGGUGAUAUGCGUAGAGAUCAGGAAGAACACCCGUGGCGAAGGCGGCUCUCUGGACCACAACUGACGCUGAGGCGCGAAAGCCAGGGGAG